CGUAGGUGGACCUGCGGAAGGAUCAUUAUUGAAAAGUGUCAAGGGCCCAUUGGCGGUUCUUGAUAAUUCACCUUAAUACCUGUGAACAUUGAAAGAUUUGCUUUGGCAGAAUACGGCCCUAAUUCGAACGAAUCAGGCCAAAUUCUGUCAAAGGUUUAUUAAAAUUCUUUUUGUGUUUUUUCAAUUAAUUAUAAAUUUAUAAAACUUUCAACAAUGGAUCUCUUGGUUCUCGCGUCGAUGAAGAACGUGGCAAAAUGCGAUAAGUAGUGUGAAUUGCAGAAUUAAGUGAAUCAUCGAAUCUUUGAACGCACAUUGCGCUCCUUAGUAUUCUAGGGAGCAUGCCUGUUUGAGCGUCAUUUAAAAAACUUGAACUUUUUUAAGUUUGUGUUGGGCUAUGCAUUUUUCUUCAAAAUGCUGGUCUAAAAUAUAAUUCAGUGUGUUCUUUUCUUUUAGCGUAGUAGGGGUUGAUCCAAUUCGCUAUCUAGAAAUGAAUAUAAGCUGAUGUUAGAAUGUCUAAUGAAUUUUUGACCUCAAAUCAGGCAGGAUCACCCCGCUGAACA
rnacentral:rRNA from 1 species